GACAUUUUCUCGAUCAUCGUCGAUCAGUUUUCGUUUUUCUCGGACUUUCACGUACUGAUCCGACAUAUUCUCGACCAGUUUUCGUUUCUCUCGGACUUUCACGUACUGAUCGGACAUUUUCUCGAUCAUCGUCGAUCAGUUUUCGUUUUUCUCGAUCUUUCACGUACUGAUCGGACAUUUUCUCGAUCAGUUUUCGUGUUUCUCGAUCAUUCUCGUACUGAUCCGACAUUUUCUCGAUCAUCGUCGAUCAGUUUUCGUUUUUCUCGAUCUUUCACGUACUGAUCGGACAUUUUCUCGAUCAUCGUCGACCAGUUUUCGUUUUUCGUUUUUCUCGUCCGGAUAUGUUUUUCUCUCGAUCAUCGUCGAUAAGUUUUUGUUUUCUACCGGUUUCAAUUUUUUCGGAUUUUCUCAUUCGGCUGGGAUUUUUCCCGAUCAUUGGAACUCCCGGUUUCGAUUUUCUCGAUGAUCACUGUCAGAUUCGAUAUUUCUCGACUGUUAGCUCCGUACUUUCGAUAUUUCUCGAUCUUGUAUUUCCGGUUUCGAUAAUUCUCGAUCUUUAGCUUCCGGAUAAGUUAUUCUCACCAUCCCGAGCCGGUGCUACCGAGUAAGUUUUGCAAGAAUAUAAGGACGUGUUUCCAGAAGAUAAUCCCAUAGGUUUACCACCCAUCCGAGGGAUCGAGCAUCAAAUUGAUUUCGUCCCGGGAGCCGCCCUACCAAACCGACCAGCUUAUCGC
rnacentral:lncRNA from 1 species